GGAAGCUCAGAGAUGAGUGAGGCAAGUCUUUCUCUCUCUAGGAAUUUUCUCCCUCGACAUAAAAGUCGCUGUUUUGCGCCGGUUUCGCGUCCCGCUCGACGCUCGCUAUUUAGGUGGACUUGGGGCCAGCUUUUAAAAGGGAUUCCAGCAGCUAGAGGUGAGAUUUUCAGCUGUGAAUUGACCCCCUUUAACCAGGGAUAAUCUACUUUGAAGCUUGCUUGAGAUUUCUGAAUCUUAUUGAAUCGAAUUGGUAAUCUUGGG